rnacentral:rRNA from 1 species
GCCUAGGAAAUUGCCCUGAUGUGGGGGAUAACCAUUGGAAACGAUGGCUAAUACCGCAUAAUGCCUUCGGGCCAAAGAGGGGGACCUUCGGGCCUCUCGCGUCAGGAUAUGCCUAGGUGGGAUUAGCUAGUUGGUGAGGUAAUGGCUCACCAAGGCGACGAUCCCUAGCUGGUCUGAGAGGAUGAUCAGCCACACUGGAACUGAGACACGGUCCAGACUCCUACGGGAGGCAGCAGUGGGGAAUAUUGCACAAUGGGCGCAAGCCUGAUGCAGCCAUGCCGCGUGUAUGAAGAAGGCCUUCGGGUUGUAAAGUACUUUCAGUCGUGAGGAAGGUGGUGUUGUUAAUAGCAGCAUCAUUUGACGUUAGCGACAGAAGAAGCACCGGCUAACUCCGUGCCAGCAGCCGCGGUAAUACGGAGGGUGCGAGCGUUAAUCGGAAUUACUGGGCGUAAAGCGCAUGCAGGUGGUUCGUUAAGUCAGAUGUGAAAGCCCGGGGCUCAACCUCGGAACUGCAUUUGAAACUGGCGGACUAGAGUACUGUAGAGGGGGGUAGAAUUUCAGGUGUA